rnacentral:rRNA from 1 species
UACAGAGGUCCCAAGCGUUGUUCGGAUUUACUGGGCGUAAAGGGUGCGUAGGCGGUCGGGUAAGUCUGGUGUGAAAUCUUCGAGCUUAACUCGGAAACUGCAUUGGAUACUAUUCGGCUAGAGAGUUGGAGGGGGGAUUGGAAUACUUGGUGUAGCAGUGAAAUGCGUAGAUAUCAAGUGGAACACCAGUGGCGAAGGCGAAUCCCUGGACAACUUCUGACGCUGAGGCACGAAAGCUAGGGGAGCAAACGGG